GGGAAAUCCGAACGAACACAGGGAUAACAUGUCGACUCCACGUGGAAACACGUUUAACCAGAGGCUCAGGUAGUGUCAGGCCAGCGAUGCAAUCCACCUCAAAACACUUCCAACACCAAUUCUAAGACGUCUUCAUAGUGCUUCCGGUUUGGGCUCUGGCUUGUCACGUUCCGGCAGCGCUGGCAGCUCGUCUCUGAAGACCACAGGUGCUGCUGGCUCCCUCCAGCGCGCUCUGUAGCAGCAGCAGCAGCAAGCCCCCAAAUUGAAUUAUCUAAUAAAAGGGCUGGGGCUCCGAUGACAUUCAAUAGAAUUGAUCUUGAUUAAGACCAGAGACCUGUGAAAUCUACAGGGUCCCUGACCCACAGACCAAAUAAUAAGAAAUACGUCCAUGAUAAAUGAGGUUGGCGAUGAUGAGGAUGACAAAGCUGCAUGUGUGUGUGUGUGUGUGUGUGUGUGUGUGUGUGUGUGUGUGUGUGUGUGUGUGUGUACAGAGUCCAAGAGAAACGACUUUAUUUUGGCGGGUCAGGACAUCUAUCAAUGAAUUUCCCAGUCGACCGAAGCGCAGCACUUGUCGAAACCACUGUACUUUCGUGUCAAUUUGCCGUUUCUCAAGUGGGGGAGAUGGGGAUCAAAUCCCAGCAUCUCUCCGUCCAGCGCUGAAUUAAAAGGCUGGCGUUGGCGGAUCUCUGGAUGCUAGAGGGCAGGCCGGAACACACCGACGGAAACUCGUAAACAAACUGACAGCGUUGGCGCUUUGUUCCAGCCCCCCUCCAUUAUCCUAAUUCCGAGCUACUUGUUCUUAUUUUAAGAUGCAGUUAAUAAAACUGUCCGCUGCUGUUUCAGCUAAGCACUUCUAUAAUGUACAGCCGGAAAUAAAGCAGAGGUUAUAAAAAUUGC
ensembl:lncRNA